GACGAACGCUGGCGGCGUGCUUAACACAUGCAAGUCGAGCGGUAAGGCCCUUUCGGGGGUACACGAGCGGCGAGCGGGUGAGUAACACGUGGGUGACCUGCCCUUAGCUCUGGGAUAAGCCUGGGAAACUGGGUCUAAUACCGGAUAUGACUCCAUGACGCAUGUUGUGGGGUGGAAAGCCUUGUGCGGCUAGGGAUGGGCCCGCGGCCUAUCAGCUUGUUGGUGGGGUGANGGCCUACCAAGGCGACGACGGGUAGCCGGCCUGAGAGGGCGACCGGCCACACUGGGACUGAGACACGGCCCAGACUCCUACGGGAGGCAGCAGUGGGGAAUCUUGCGCAAUGGGCGAAAGCCUGACGCAGCGACGCCGCGUGAGGGAUGACGGCCUCGGUUGUAAC
rnacentral:rRNA from 1 species